rnacentral:snRNA from 1 species
AUACUUACCUGGCAGGGGAGAUACUAAGUGAUCGCCAAAGUGGUUUUUGCAGGGUGAGGCUCUUACAUUACAUUUAGGAAAUGUGGGAAACUCAACUGUGUAAUUUCUUUUUUUUUUUAAAGAUUUUAUUUAUUUAUUUGAC